rnacentral:rRNA from 1 species
AUAAGUAGGGUGCAAGCGUUGUCCGGAUUUAUUGGGUUUAAAGGGUGCGCAGGCGGUCUAUUAAGUUAGUGGUUAAAUCGUCCCGCUUAACGGGAUAUCCGCCAUUAAAACUGUUAGACUUGAGUGCAAUAGAGGAAGCUGGAAUGCGUGGUGUAGCGGUGAAAUGCUUAGAGAUCACGCAGAACACCGAUUGCGAAGGCAGGCUUCUAUGUUGCAACUGACGCUGAGGCACGAAAGCGUGGGUAGCGAACAGGAUUAGAAACCCCGGUAGUCC